UGCCCAUCAUUAGUUUUAUGCUGGGCAUGCCGGGAAAUGUGCUGGGCAUGAUGGAAUUCAUCAUGGGGGUGAUGAUGGAAUUCAUCGUGGGUAUGCUGGGUGGAUGGUGGG
rnacentral:lncRNA from 1 species